rnacentral:rRNA from 1 species
AACGUAGGACACAAGCGUUAUCCGGAGUUACUGGGCGUAAAGGGCGUGUAGGCGGACGUGUAAGUCUAUUCUGAAGCUCCUGGCUAAACUGGGAGAGGCGAAUGGAGACUGCAUAUCUAGAGUGAGGAAGAGGAAAAGUGGAAUUCCGCGUGUAGUGGUGAAAAUGCGUAGAGAUGCGGAGGAACACCAGUGGCGAAGGCGGGUUGCUGGGCUGAUACUGACGCUGAGGCGCGAAAAGCUAGGGGGAGCGAAACGGGG